rnacentral:rRNA from 1 species
CGAGAGGAAGGUGGGGAUGACGUCAAGUCCUCAUGGCCCUUACGGGCUGGGCUACACACGUGCUACAAUGGUGGUGACAGUGGGCAGCGAGACGGUGACGUCGAGCUAAUCUCCAAAAGCCAUNUCAGUUCGGAUUGCACUCUGCAACUCGAGUGCAUGAAGUUGGAAUCGCUAGUAAUCGCGGAUCANCAUGCCNCGGUGAAUACGUUCCCGGNCCUUGUACACACCGCCCGUCACACCAUGGGAGUUGGUUUUACCCGAAGGUAGUGCGCUAACCGCAAGGAGGCAGCUAACCACGGUAGGGUCAGCGACUGGGGUGAAGUCGUAACAAGGUAGCCGUAGGG